rnacentral:rRNA from 1 species
UGAACGCUGGCGGCAGGCCUAACACAUGCAAGUCGAGCGGAUGAAGGGAGCUUGCUCUUGGAUUCAGCGGCGGACGGGUGAGUAAUGCCUAGGAAUCUGCCUGGUAGUGGGGGAUAACGUCCGGAAACGGGCGCUAAUACCGCAUACGUCCUGAGGGAGAAAGUGGGGGAUCUUCGGACCUCACGCUAUCAGAUGAGCCUAGGUCGGAUUAGCUAGUUGGUGGGGUAAAGGCCUACCAAGGCGACGAUCCGUAACUGGUCUGAGAGGAUGAUCAGUCACACUGGAACUGAGACACGGUCCAGACUCCUACGGGAGGCAGCAGUGGGGAAUAUUGGACAAUGGGCGAAAGCCUGAUCCAGCCAUGCCGCGUGUGUGAAGAAGGUCUUCGGAUUGUAAAGCACUUUAAGUUGGGAGGAAGGGCAGUAAGUUAAUACCUUGCUGUUUUGACGUUACCAACAGAAUAAGCACCGGCUAACUUCGUG